rnacentral:rRNA from 1 species
CCUACGGGCGUCAGCAGUGAGGAAUAUUUGUCCAUGGACGCGAGUCUGAACCAGCCAAGUCGCGUGAAGGAUGACUGCCCUAUGGGUUGUAAACUUCUUUUAUAUGGGAAUCAAACGUUCCACGUGUGGGAUUUUGUAUGUACCUUAUGAAUCAGGAUCUGCUAACUCCGUGCCAGCAGCCGCGGUAAUACGGAGGAUCCGAGCGUUAUCCGGAUUUAUUGGGUUUAAAGGGUGCGUAGGUGGAUUGUUAAGUAAGUUGUGAAAGUCUGAGGCUCAACCGUAAAAUUGCAGUUGAAACUGGGAGUGUGGAGUACAUUAGAGGUAGGCGGAAUGCGGGGUGUAGCGGUGAAAUGCUUAGAUAUCACGCAGAACUCCGAUUGCGAAGGCAGUUCACUGGACUACAACUGACACUGAUGCACGAAAGCGUGGGGAUCAAACAGGAUUAGAUACCCGAGUAGUC